rnacentral:rRNA from 1 species
GACGUAGGAGGCGAGCGUUAUCCGGAUUCACUGGGCGUAAAGCGCGCGUAGGCGGUUGUGUAAGUCCGUUGUUAAAGCCCCUGGCUCAACUGGGGGAGGUCAAUGGAGACUACACUGACUUGAGGGCAACAGAGGCACAUGGAACUCCCGGUGUAGCGGUGGAAUGCGUAGAGAUCGGGAAGAACACCCGUGGCGAAGGCGGUGUGCUGGGUUGCGACUGACGCUGAUGUGCGAAAGUGUGGGGAGCAAACGGG